rnacentral:rRNA from 1 species
UACGUAGGGUCCGAGCGUUGUCCGGAAUUAUUGGGCGUAAAGAGCUCGUAGGCGGUUUGUCGCGUCUGCUGUGAAAUCCCGAGGCUCAACCUCGGGUCUGCAGUGGGUACGGGCAGACUGGAGUGCGGUAGGGGAGAAUGGAAUUCCUGGUGUAGCGGUGGAAUGCGCAGAUAUCAGGAGGAACACCGGUGGCGAAGGCGGUUCUCUGGGCAUUACCUGACGCUGAGGAGCGAAAGCGUGGGGAGCAAACAGG